UUUCCGUAGGUGAACCUGCGGAAGGAUCAUUAAUAUUUGAGUCGGGGUUGUUCUUGUGGUAUUCGGUUCGGUUCUUUUUUGUGUCUUUUAGUUAUUAAAAAAUCCCGGGAAUAACCCUGACACAAAUAUGAACACUUUUUAUUCUCUCUAUAUUCUUUUUAACUAAAGAUAUAAGGAGCAAGAUGAUAUAUUUAAAACCCAACUCUUUAAAUGUUUUUAUAACUAUUGUGUAUUUUAAAUAAAAAAAGAUCACUUUCAACAACGGAUCUCUUGGCUCUC
rnacentral:misc_RNA from 1 species